rnacentral:rRNA from 1 species
UACGUAGGAUGCGAGCGUUGUCCGGAAUUACUGGGCGUAAAGAGCGCGUAGGCGGCCCCGCGCGUGGGCUGUGAAAGCCCCCGGCUUACCCGGGGGAGGGCAGCCCAGACGGCGGGGCUGGAGGGCGGUAGGGGCUGGCGGAACGCCCGGAGUAGCGGUGAAAUGCGUUGAUAUCGGGCAGAACACCGGUGGCGAAGGCGGCCAGCUGGGCCGACCCUGACGCUGAGGCGCGAAAGCCAGGGGAGCGAACGG